UCAACCGACACCACAAUAUAGUUGACGAACAAAUUUAACUAUUGAUACACCUAUAUUAAUUAAACAGUGGAAUAAGUCGGCUGGUUUUAAAAGAGUCUGUCGUUAGGUAGUUUUACUCGACUAUAUAUAACGUACUGCUGGUGCAAUUCCUAAAAAUACGUGGCACUCAAAUUGUCUAUAAGGGUGGAUUUAUGGGUUAAAGUGCGUGGAAUAACGACAGAACUUAACUUCCAAACAUAUUUGUGUUAAUAUUGUGUACUUCGUCACUUAUCUUGUGUGUUAUUUAUUUGUGGGAUACGUCAGCAUAAUUGAUGAUUACGUCAAAGGAUAUCUUAGUAUGUUGAAUGAAGAAACGAUGGAAGUGUUUUAAUUUAAAUGGGUGGCCUCAGGAGUACAAUUAUGUGUCAUUUGGAUUAUUAUUAUCGGUACCAAUAACAGUAUGGCUAUACCUAACUUAGUUUAUAGAACAUGUGUUACUAUAUUAACAUUACUUAGUGUUUGGAUUAUAAACGCCCGACCUGUUUCAGGAACCAGUACUGGUCAUCCUCUACCAUCAUUCCUCGACACACCCACUAAUACAACAUUUGGUGUAGGCGAAGAAGCUAUAUUACAAUGUGCUAUACAGAAUCUAGGAACAAGAACGGUGGUUUGGCGACGUGCAUCGGAUCCCAAUCCUUUAACAAUAGGUGAUAAUACCUACGUAUCAGACGACAGAAUCCGGGUUCUUCACGAAAAAUACUCAAUGGAAUGGAGUUUACAUAUAAGGGAUGUGACGUUUGAGGACGAGGGUGUUUACGAAUGUCAGAUUAGUUCUAAAUCUCGGAGCGUCAGAAGAUUAAUCAUGUUACGAGUUAAUGAAAAACCAUCCAAAAAUUCUAAAGGACCAGAAAUCGAAAUCUCAGGACUGACGUUUGUGGAGAAGGGAAAUCCCCUAAAAGUGACGUGUAACGCCACCGGAAAUGAUUAUCCGCCUGAAGGUUUGGAUUGGUUCAAAGAUGGACUUAAAAUAACGCCGAACGAUCGAACGUCGAUCAACAUGGACGUAUCGAUAUCCGAUCGAACUAUAAUCAGUACCCUAGUUAUUCUAAGGGCUGAUAUGUACGAUGCCGGAACUUACGUAUGUCGUACGUCAGAUCUACAAAUCACCAGUGCUAAAGUUAA